rnacentral:rRNA from 1 species
CCAAUAGCGUAUAUUAAAGUUGUUGCAGUUAAAAAGCUCGUAGUUGAACCUCGGGGUCUACCCAUUGGUCAGGCUUAAUUGUCUGCACUGGUGAGAUGGAUCUCUACCUUCUGAGGAACUUUCAUGCCGUUUAUUUGGUGUGGUGGGGAAUCAGGACUGUUACUUUGAAGAAAUUAGAGUGGUUAAAGCAGACUAUCGUCUGAAUACAUUAGCAUGGAAUAAUGAAAUAGGACGGACUGAUUCUAUUUCGUUGGUUUCUAGGAUCACCGUAAUGAUUAAUAGGGAUAGUUGGGGGCAUUAGUAUUCAAUUGUCAGAGGUGAAAUUCUUGGAUUUAUUGAAGACUAACUACUGCGAAAGCAUUUGCCAAGGAUGUUUUCAUUAAUCAAGAACGAAAGUUAGGGGAUCGAAGACGAUCAGAUACCGUCGUAGUCUUAACCAUAAACUAUGCCGACUAGGGAUCGGACGAAGUUAAUUUUAUAAUGACGCGUUUGGUACCUUACG